rnacentral:lncRNA from 1 species
UCAAAGUCGGCUUAUACAUAGCGACCACAUAAUCGAAAUGUCGUACAAAAGGAUCAUAACCCGGAGAAAUCAAAUCAAUAUAUCAAUAGAAAAUUCGACGGCAUAAUGACAUAUAAAUGUCGAAUCCAUGAAUUUAAUCCGACAAAUAUUAAUCAUUGUAUUGAAACAUAAACUGAUAAAAAAUGAAACACGGUUACACAAUAGCACUGAGAUAUUGUGUUGUUGCUCAAACUCCUUCAGAAUUCUCAAUAAUUUUGGGAUUCUUUCCCUCCAUGACCGAAAC